rnacentral:rRNA from 1 species
GAUGAACGCUGGCGGCGUGCUUAACACAUGCAAGUCGAACGGAGUGCCUUUGAAAGAGGAUUCGUCCAAUUGAUAAGGUUACUUAGUGGCGGACGGGUGAGUAACGCGUGAGGAACCUACCUUUAACAGGGGGAUAACACUGAGAAAUUGGUACUAAUACCCCAUAAUAUCAUAGAAGGCAUCUUUUAUGGUUGAAAAUUCCGAUGGUUAGAGAUGGGCAUGCGUUGUAUUAGCUAGUUGGUGGGGUAACGGCUCACCAAGGCGACGAUACAUAGGGGGACUGAGAGGUUAACCCCCCACACUGGUACUGAGACACGGACCAG